rnacentral:rRNA from 1 species
UCGAAGCCUAACAAGCAGUGCGACCCGCGAAUAUGUUUGACUACUCAGGGGUGGCUAGAGUGCUUGGCACCUCGGUCCCCUCUUGUGUCGGAGGUGCCCCUCCUUGUGUGGUCUCCUCCUGGCCUAACAACAAAACCCCGGCGCCGAAUGCGCCAAGGAAAUAAAGAUUGUGUAGUGCGCCCUCGUUGGCACCGGAGACGGUGUCGGUGCGGGCGGCGUUGUGACACACAUAUCCUAA